rnacentral:rRNA from 1 species
CUACGGGAGGCAGCAGUGGGGAAUAUUGCACAAUGGGCGCAAGCCUGAUGCAGCCAUGCCGCGUGUAUGAAGAAGGCCUUCGGGUUGUAAAGUACUUUCAGCAGGGAGGAAGGGAGUAAAGUUAAUACCUUUGCUCAUUGACGUUACCCGCAGAAGAAGCACCGGCUAACUCCGUGCCAGCAGCCGCGGUAAUACGGAGGGUGCAAGCGUUAAUCGGAAUUACUGGGCGUAAAGCGCACGCAGGCGGGUUGUUAAGUCAGAUGUGAAAUCCCCGGGCUCAACCUGGGAACUGCAUCUGAUACUGGCAAGCUUGAGUCUCGUAGAGGGGGGUAGAAUUCCAGGUGUAGCGGUGAAAUGCGUAGAGAUCUGGAGGAAUACCGGUGGCGAAGGCGGCCCCCUGGACGAAGACUGACGCUCAGGUGCGAAAGCGUGGGGAGCAAACAGGAUUAGAUACCCGAGUAGUC